ACCCUGGAAGUGCAUUUGAAACAGUAAGACUUGAGUACGGGAGAGGAAAGCGGAAUUCCUGGUGUAGAGGUGAAAUUCGUAGAUAUCAGGAGGAACACCGAUGGCGAAGGCAGCUUUCUGGACCGAUACUGACGCUGAUGCGCGAAGGCGUGGGUAGCGAACAGGAUUAGAUACCCUGGUAGUCCACGCAGUAAACGAUGUUCACUAGGUGUAGCGGAUAUUAAAAUCUGCUGUGCCCAAGCUAACGCAUUAAGUGAACCGCCUGGGGAGUACGGUCGCAAGACUAAAACUCNAAGGAAUUGACGGGGGCCCGCACAAGCGAUGGAGCAUGUGGUUUAAUUCGACGCAACGCGAAGAACCUUACCUGGGUUUGACAUCCUGNUAAAUCUUGUAGAGAUAUGAGAGUGCCUUCCGGAGCACAGGAGACAGGUGCUGCAUGGCUGUCGUCAGCUCCUGUCGUGAGAAUGUUUGUUAAGUCCACCAAC
rnacentral:rRNA from 1 species